rnacentral:rRNA from 1 species
UACGGGGGGGGCAAGCGUUGUUCGGAAUUACUGGGCGUAAAGGGCGCGUAGGCGGGUGGACAAGUCUCUCGUGAAAGCCCACGGCUCGACCGUGGAAUUGCGGGAGAUACUGUCUGUCUUGAGUCCGGGAGAGGAGGGUGGAAUUCCCAGUGUAGCGGUGAAAUGCGUAGAUAUUGGGAGGAACACCGGUGGCGAAGGCGGCUCUCUGGACCGGUACUGACGCUGAGGCGCGAAAGCUAGGGGAGCAAACGGG